UCCUACGGGGCGCAGCAGUAGGGAAUUUUCGUCAAUGGGCGCAAGCCUGAACGAGCAAUGCCGCGUGAACGAGGAAGGUCUUCGGAUCGUAAAGUUCUGUUGAAGGGGAAAAAGAGCGGAGAGAGGAAAUGGUCUCCGAUUGAUAUUACCCUUCGAGGAAGUCACGGCUAACUACGUGCCAGCAGCCGCGGUAAUACGUAGGUGGCGAGCGUUAUCCGGAAUGAUUGGGCGUAAAGGGUGCGUAGGCGGACGGUCAAGUCAGCGGUAAAAAUGCGGUGCUCAACGCCGUACAGCCGUUGAAACUG
rnacentral:rRNA from 1 species